GGUGAACGCUGGCGGCGUGCUUAAGACAUGCAAGUCGAACGGCAGUCUUCGGACUGUAGUGGCGCACGGGUGUGUAAAGCGUAACUGACCUACCCCAAAGCCGCGGCUAACGAUUCAAAGAAUCGAUAAUACGUGAUGUGCUGUCAGAUGGUGUUAUUCCAGUAAAGAUUGAUUGCUUUGGGCUGGGGUUUCGUUCCAUCAGCUCGUUGGUGGGGUAAAGGCCCACCAAGGCGACGACGGAUAGCCGGCCUGCGACGGUGGCCGGCCACAGGGGACCUGAGACACGGGUCCCACUCCUACGGGCGGCAGCAGUUAGGAAUCUUCCACAAUGGGCGAAAGCCUGAUGGAGCGACGCCGCGUGAGGGAUGAAGGUCUUCGGAUCGUAAACCUCUGAAUCAGGGGCGAAAGACACUUCGGUGGGAUGACGGUGCCUGAGUAAUAGCACCGGCUAACUCCGUGCCAGCCGCCGCAGUAAAAC
rnacentral:rRNA from 1 species